UCCAAAGCCAUCAGCCUCCCUACCCAUCCCCCACCUGGGUGGCAAGAAAAGGUGAGGUUUGGUGCAUCGUCCAAGGAGCAGGUCUGGACAGCUAGCUGUUAUACUUGGCUCAUGCCAGCAAAAAAAAAAAAAAAAAAAAAGGAAUUUAUGGACUGCCCUGCAGAAUGUCCCAGUUCUUCCAGGCCAAGCUCCAGGAAACGAGAAACAUGCCAUCACGUUCAGCAAACGAGUGAGAGAAACUGCAACCAGAUGGGCCACCAAAGGCGGAGCAUCUGGGGGAGGACAGCCAACCAGCGGACAGAAAGGGGCCUCGCUCGGUGACACCGGCGGACGUGGCCACGCUGGACACUUCACAUCCGUGGAAUUCUGCAGUGUGGGUCCUUCCCUCGGCGCCACGGUCGAGGUCCGUCUCUGUUGUGGAUCCGUGCUUUGCUCCUUCCUGACCUUCAGUCCUGCUGCCACCAUAGGACGAGGACUGGGUGGUGUCAUGCUCCCUGCCGGCACCUCACAGGAGCGUCGGUGGAGGGUUAGCGACUGCUCCUUUAGGUCUUUCAUCCCUAACCCCUGUCCCCAAAAAUCGUGGUGAUGGUUGAAGCCUAGUGCAUUUCAUCCAUCGAAAUAAAAUGAUUCAAUUCUU